UGGGGAAUUUUGGACAAUGGGCGAAAGCCUGAUCCAGCAAUGCCGCGUGUGUGAAGAAGGCCUUCGGGUUGUAAAGCACUUUUGUCCGGAAAGAAAUCCUUGGCUCUAAUACAGUCGGGGGAUGACGGUACCGGAAGAAUAAGCACCGGCUAACUACGUGCCAGCAGCCGCGGUAAUACGUAGGGUGCAAGCGUUAAUCGGAAUUACUGGGCGUAAAGCGUGCGCAGGCGGUUUGCUAAGACCGAUGUGAAAUCCCCGGGCUCAACCUGGGAACUGCAUUGGUGACUGGCAGGCUAGAGUAUGGCAGGAGGGGGGUUAGAAUUGCCACGGUGUGAGCAGUGAAAGUGCGUAGAGAUGUGGAGGAAUACCGAUGGCGAAGGCAGCCCCUGGGCCAAUACUGACGCUCAUGCACGAAAGCGU
rnacentral:rRNA from 1 species